rnacentral:lncRNA from 1 species
CUUUCGAGGCCGUUCCUUUGCGCCCUAAAACAAGUAGCCCCAACGUGAGAGAAACAAAAGAAACAUCAUUUGAAGAAAAGAAUUCAAAUUUCCAGCACUACAAUGAAAGGUUUGUGGAACACAGUACUGUUGAGUGGAGAGAACUACAAAAGCAACAGAAAUCAAUGAAAACAGUGCCCAUCAUAUGCACCUGAAUAAAGUGUCCCUUUAUCAGGUUAGAAGAUAGUGUGAUCACAUGAAAACACAAGGCAAGCUACAAGAGACCAGCAACAACAGGAAGCACAGUGGGAAUGCUCAAAACAGAGCAUAAUAGGAACUUCUCACCCAUCCCAACCCUUUGCCCCUCCCUACCCCAUUACACUAGACUUCACAGAGAUCAUUCUCUUAAUGCAC